UACGUAGGGACCGAGCGUUGUCCGGAUUCAUUGGGCGUAAAGAGCUCGUAGGCGGCUGUUCAAGUCGAACGUGAAAACUCGGAGCUCAACUCCGAGCCUGCGUUCGAUACUGGACGGCUAGAGUCUGGUAGGGGGAUCUGGAAUUCCUGGUGUAGCGGUGGAAUGCGCAGAUAUCAGGAGGAACACCAAUAGCGAAGGCAGCUCGCUGGGACGUUACUGACACUGAGGCGCGAAAGCGUGGGGAGCGAACAGG
rnacentral:rRNA from 1 species